GGACCGUCGAAAAUAAUUAAUAACAAAUAAUAGCGAAAAUCAAUGGACGACGGCGAGUUGAUUAAAUUGAUAGAGAGUCACCCGAUCCUGUACGACAAGGACAGCGCCAGGAGCGUUAAAAAUGCGGCCCAGAAGGAUGCGGCCUGGAAGGCCAUCUCCCAGAAGUUGGGCGCCUCCGAGAGAGCGUGCAUUACGCGCUGGAAGAGCAUUCGCGAUCGUUUCGGCAAGGAGUUCCGUCGCUUCCAGGAGCGACCCGAUGAGCCCACCUACUGGGACAUGUUCCCGCGCCUGCUCUUCCUCAAGGAUCACUACAAGCAAGGACUGGCCCGGAACGAGAGCCUGGACGGAAUGCGCUUUGAGCCAAGGGAGCGAAAGAAGCGGCCAAAAGUGGACAUAGAGCAGGAGAAACGGAGGAGGGACGAGGAUGAGGAGGACUGCCAGGAUGACCUGCUCAACGAACAACUCAUUGAGCUGGUCAAGAUGCAUCCGGUGUUGUAUGACCGCCACAAGAUCAGGGUCUCCAAGAACCUGGCGGCCAAAAACGAAGCCUGGCGGGAAAUUUCCGAGAACUUGAAUGUGUCGGAGGAACUUUGCUACAACCGCUGGAAAAAGCUGCGCGAUCGCUUCGCCCGGGAAUACCGCAGUCAGCAGAUCAAUCAGGCCACUCCAAUCACGUGGAGGUACUUCAAUGAGCUCCUCUUCCUGGGCCGACACUUUCGCAAGGGAGUCCCUCUGGUUUUGGAGAACAUCAAACGGCGCGGGCGACCGCCAAAGUCCAGCAUUCCGUCGGGGAAUCCCAGCAAGCAGCAGGAGGGUAUGGUGAUCUCCAGUGGCGAGCAGAUCUGGGGCGCCGACUAUCCCUACAGCACGGAUAACGACGAGCUGGAGGAUGAUCUGGAGCUGGCCUACGACGAGGAGAUAGAGAUCCUGUCCGAGACAGAGCAGGCAACGCCCUAUGACUUCAUUCUCAGCGAAGCCACGCCUUCCCAGGAACUGGAGCCACCACAGCAGCUUCAUGUGACCACUACUACGCCGGCCAUGACCGAGGAGAUUAUCCACACUAUCGACAGAGCAAACCCCGUAGUAGAGGAAACGUCCCCUCUUGCAGAGGACUCUGCAACGCCCGCCGCCACCUCCGAUAAACUACUGACUACCGUGAUAGCCAACAUGGAGACCGUUCUACAGCAAUCCCGAGAGCUGCAGGCCCAAAUCCAUCACGAGCAGGAGCAGGAGCGGGAACAGCGAAGUGCCACGCCGGCCAACGGCUUGCUGGCCAAAGCUCACAUGCUGUUGGACGGCCUGAGUCCUUUGGAACGGGCAAAUGCCGAGCGCAAGAUUGUGCAGUUUCUGUGCCAGUGCCAAAUAAAAGCGUUGGACGGGGAGGAAAUCGAGGAUGUCGCACCUUGCCAGGUGAUUAACUGACAAAUUAUUGCCUAGGGUUCCUAUUUAGUUAGCUGUAAAUAUAUACAUGUUGUUUUUAAACCACCAGUGUUGGAAAGCGUAGAUAUACAUGUGUAAUCGAACCUAUCGUUAUCAGACGUUGGCCGCUAGAGGGCGCUGAAAUAUUCAAAACCGAGUCCGUUAGGCGGAUUCAAAAGCAGACCAAAAUAAAUAAAAU